GGACCAUUAGCUCAGACGGUUAGAGCGGCGGCCUUAUAAGCCGUGUGUCCGGGGUUCAAUUCCCUGAUGGUCCA
rnacentral:tRNA from 5 species